rnacentral:rRNA from 1 species
UACAGAGGUCCCAAGCGUUGUUCGGAUUCAUUGGGCGUAAAGGGUGCGUAGGUGGCGCGCUAAGUCAGGUGUGAAAUUUCGGAGCUUAACUCCGAAACUGCAUUUGAUACUGGCGUGCUUGAGGACUGGAGAGGAGACUGGAAUUUACGGUGUAGCAGUGAAAUGCGUAGAGAUCGUAAGGAAGACCAGUGGCGAAGGCGGGUCUCUGGACAGUUCCUGACACUGAGACACGAAGGCCAGGGGAGCAAACGGG